rnacentral:rRNA from 1 species
GACGAACGCUGGCGGCGUGCCUAAUACAUGCAAGUCGAGCGCAGGAAAUCGACGGAACCCUUCGGGGGGAAGUCGACGGAAUGAGCGGCGGACGGGUGAGUAACACGUAAAGAACCUGCCCUCAGGUCUGGGAUAACCACGAGAAAUCGGGGCUAAUACCGGAUGGGUCAUCGGACCGCAUGGUCCGAGGAUGAAAGGCGCUCCGGCGUCGCCUGGGGAUGGCUUUGCGGUGCAUUAGCUAGUUGGUGGGGUAAUGGCCCACCAAGGCGACGAUGCAUAGCCGACCUGGGAGGGUGAGCGGCCACACUGGGACUGAGACACGGCCCAGACUCCUACGGGAGGCAGCAGUAGGGAAUCUUCCACAAUGGACGAAAGUCUGAUGGAGCAACGCCGCGUGAACGAUGAAGGCCUUCGGGUCGUAAAGUUCUGUUGUAAGGGAAGAACAAGUGCCGCAGGCAAUGGCGGCACCUUGACGGUACCUUGCGAGAAAGCCACGGCUAACUACGUGCCAGCCGCCGCGGUAAUAC